rnacentral:rRNA from 1 species
AUUGAACGCUGGCGGAAUGCUUUACACAUGCAAGUCGAGCGGCAGCGCGGGGCAACCUGGCGGCGAGCGGCGAACGGGUGAGUAAUGUAUCGGAACGUGUCCUUGAGUGGGGGAUAGCCCGGUGAAAACCGGAUUAAUACCGCAUGAGCUCGAGAGAGGAAAGCGGGGGAUCGCAAGACCUCGCGCUGGAGGAGCGGCCGAUAUCCGAUUAGCUAGAUGGUGAGGUAAAGGCUUACCAUGGCUUUGAUCGGUAGCUGGUCUGAGAGGAUGAUCAGCCACACUGGGACUGAGACACGGCCCAGACUCCUACGGGAGGCAGCAGUGGGGAGUUUUGGACAAUGGGGGCAACCCUGAUCCAGCCAUUCCGCGUGAGUGAAGAAGGCCUUCGGGUUGUAAAGCUCUUUUGUCGGGGACGAAACGGUUUUGGCUAAUACCCAGGACUACUGACGGUACCCGAAGAAUAAGCACCGGCUAACUACGUGCCAGCCGCCGCGGUAAGAC